rnacentral:rRNA from 1 species
CGUAGGGUGCGAGCGUUAAUCGGAAUUACUGGGCGUAAAGCGUGCGUAGGCGGUUCGUUAAGUUCGUUGUGAAAGCCCCGGGCUCAACCUGGGAACUGCAAUGGAAACUGGCGGGCUUGAGUGUGGCAGAGGGGGGUGGAAUUCCGCGUGUAGCAGUGAAAUGCGUAGAGAUGCGGAGGAACACCGAUGGCGAAGGCAGCCCCCCUGGGCCAACACUGACGCUCAGGCACGAAAGCGUGGGGAGCAAACAGGAUUAGAUACCCUGGUAGUCCACGCCCUAAACGAUGCUCACUAGGUGUUGGGGAAGCGAUUCCUUGGUACCGUAGCUAACGCGUGAAGUGAGCCGCCUGGGGAGUACGGCCGCAAGGUUA